rnacentral:rRNA from 1 species
AGCCUCAAAUCUAGCCCGUAUAAUCCGCAUGAAGCCCCUAAACUACUGCAAAAAAUAAAUCAUUUUAACAUUUUAGUAUAGGUGAUAGAAAAAUUACUAAGCGCCUCAGAUAUAGUACCGUAAGGGAAAUAUGAAAUAGAAAUGAAACAACACUACAGCCACAAACAGCAGAGAUACUACCUCGUACCUUUUGCAUCAUGGUCUAGCCAGUCCACCCAAGCAAAAUGAAAAUUUUAGUCUGACCCCCCGAAACUAAGCGAGCUACUUCAAAACAGCUUUAAGAGCCAACCCUUCUCUGUUGCAAAAGAGUGGGAAGAUUUUCAAGUAGAGGUGACAAGCCUACCGAGCUUAGAGAUAGCUGGUUGUUCAAGAAAAGAGUUUUAGCUCUGCCUUAAGCUUUUAUAUUAUGUCAAACAAACCCCCAAGCUUAAGAGUUAUCAAAUUAGGCACAGCUUAUUUGAAACAGGAUACAACCUCCGCCACUGGGUAAAACGGGCAAUAAAAAUAAAGUGGGCCCAAAAGCAGCCACCUUUAAGAAAGCGUCAAAGCUUAACUAUUAUAACCCCUAAUUCCUAAAACAUCCACUAACCCCUAAUCCCUACUGAACCCCUUUAUAUUAAUAUAAAAACGACUAUGCUAGAACUAGUAACAAGAACUUGCCAUUCUCCACAAUGUAAGUAUAGACCAAAACGGACACUCCAUUGGUAAUCAACGUAAAUGCAAAACCAUAACAACACAAAACCAGAAAACCUUACGGCCACCACACGUUACCCUAACACUAGAACAUUAUAGGAAAGAUUAAAAGAAAGAGAAGGAACUCGGCAAAUUUUAGCCCCGCCUGUUUACCAAAAACAUCGCCUCCUGACUAAGCAUAAGAGGGUCCAGCCUGCCCAGUGACAACAUUCAACGGCCGCGGUAUUCUGACCGUGCGAAGGUAGCAUAAUCACUUGUUCUCUAAAUAAGGACUAGUAUCAACGGCAUCACGAGGGCUACACUGUCUCCUUUCUCCAAUCAGUGAAACUGAUCCCCCCGUGAAGAAGCGGGGAUUCAAUUAUAAGACGAGAAGACCCCAUGGAGCUUUAAACCCAACAUACACCCACCCCGCUAAUACAUCAACUAAGCCUCGAGGGCCUGUACGUCGGUUUUAGGCUGGGGGGCACGGAGCAAAAUCAAACCUCCACAACAAAUGGGCUAAAACCCUUAUCCGCGAUUUACAAAUCCAAGAAUCAUCAUAAUGAUGUUUAAUGACCCGAUAAUUCGAUCAAUGAACCAAGUUACCCUGGGGAUAACAGCGCAAUCCACUCCAAGAGCCCAUAUCGACAAGUGGGUUUACGACCUCGAUGUUGGAUCAGGGUAUCCCAGUGGUGCAGCCGCUACUAAAGGU